AGUGGUACAGUUCACAGACCACAAUGCAGUUCAUCUUCUGAGAAGAUAACUAUAUUUUUUAAGUUUGAUUUUUUAAAAAUUUUUAUUUUGUUUUGUUAGAGCACCUCUGGGCUCAAUCCCCAGUACCAAACAGUAGUGCUCUAUCACUGAGCUGCAUCCCCAGCCCUUUUUAUUUUGAGACAGGGUCUCACUAAGUUGUCCAAGCUGGUCUUCAACUUGCAAUCCUCCUGCCCCAUCUUCCCGAGUUGCUGGGAUUACAGGUGUGCACCACCAUAUCAUGUAUUGAGCAGCUUCUAAAGCCUGCCCUCGAUAGCCUGACAGAUCCCCGAGCUCUAAGUCUGCCUCAGAGAGCCCCCAGUCUGCAUGGUGGGGGAAGAGGCUGGCAAAUAGAAAAGCCAAAGCCAUGUGCUGAGCUGCACCUAACCAAGCACACUGGAACAGGGAGGACUUUCCAGAAGCUUCCAGGCAGAUGCCAAGGCCUGGAAGUGAAGGGCAGGUUAAGGAAGGAUAAUAUUAACAGGUCACUUUUAAAAAAUAUUUUUUAGUUGUCAAUGGGUCUUUUUUAUUAUUUUUAUUUAUUUACUUAUUUAUAUACGGUGCUGAGGAUCAAACCCAGGACCUCACACAUGCCAGGCCAAGUGCUCCUCCAUUGAGCCACAACUCCAGUCCUAAUGGGUCAUUUCUAUAGUUCAUUACUAGAAGUUUCUCUGAAUGCAGAGAGCACUGGACACCAUGAGGCAGAGGUACAGCUUUCUCUCUGGGUGCAAAGCAGCUAUUUGUCACUGAUAGUCAUUCUUUUCCUUCAGGAGAGUGAGGGGCACAAUGCCAUCAGAGUGGAUCAAAGAUAAUAGGGCUGGGGUUGUGGCUCAGCGGUAGUGUGCUUGUUUCGCACAGGUGAAAGCACUGGGUUCGAUCCUCAGCACCACAUAAAAAUAAAAUAAAAAGAUAUUGUGUCCAUCAUCUACAACUAAAAAAAAAAAAAAAGUAAAUGUAGGGGCUGGGGAUAUAGCUCAGUUGGUAGAGUGCUUGCCUCACAUGCACAAGGCCCUGGGCUCAAUCAGCACCACACACACAAAAAAAAGUAAAUGUAAAAAGAGGGGUGGUAGGCUGCAGGUUUGUAAAGGGGAUUAGAAUCGAGGCCAGAUAUCUGGAGGUCCUAGUAGCUGGUCAAACCAACUUCCUUAGACUUGCUGUCAAGUCUGGGGCGCUGCCUGACUACCAGACCCUGUGCACCAGGCCCUGUGCAAAGGGCUUUCUGUGCAUGGUUUCAUUAAAUUUUCUUAAUGCAAGUAGGUACAGUUUUCAUCCCCAUUCUGCAGAUGAGGAAUCUGAGCCUUAUGAGAGAGAAAGACCACAGAGCCUGAGAAUGGCAGAGCUGGGAGAAAAAUCCCCUUCUGAGCAGAGCCUCGAGCCUCGGUGUUCCCACCUGCAACUUGCCUGCUCCACAGGAGAAGGCUGGAAAGGGCUGGGCUGCAGCGUCCCUGGAGGUCCAUUUGCCCUCGGGACAGGCAAGUGCCUGCCCAGGCCAGUGCGUGGCUAUCACUUUCAAUUCCUGGGAAGGUUAAAUACCUCUGAGGGGCCCAUUGAAAUGGCAACAGCAAGGGAGGGGGCGACUGAGUGACUUUCAAAGGGGCCUGAAUGCGCUGCCAGUCCCUCCCCCAAAAGGGGCCCUGCUUCCUCCUGGUCUAAUGCUAUUCUGGGCUCAGCCCUCAUCUUUGGCGGCAGUUUAACCCGAGCCAGGGCGGAUUUCUUUCUCACUGAUCUCAGCUUGACACCCAAUUAGCACAAGAAUGGGAGGAGGAAGCCUGCGAGAGGCGACUCCCAGCCUCCCGGGGCGCGUGAGAGGAGCAGGCGGGAAGACAAAGGGUGUGGGCAGGGGGGCACCCGAGCCCUCAUCUCCCCCACCAACCCUGCCAUUGUCUCCCCAGAAGCUUCAGAGAGGAUGGAGGCCUAUGCCCUGGCUGGACAGCCUGCUGGAAGGGACAGGGUUUGGGGCCCAAACCCCUGUUCUGGGUCCCAGGGAAAGACAUUUGGUUGAGACUAGUUGAAGGGAAGGCAUUGAGGCUCAAUGAUAGGGACAAGGAAGGGAUCCUGAAGGCUCUAAAACCUGGUUUGAGGCCUCAUACUUAGGGGUCCUUGGGCAAGCCACAUGUUCUGUCUCAGUUUACUCAUAGGAAAGAUGGGAGUCCCUGGGAGGAAUAAAUUAGGUAAUGCAUGUAAAUCACCUGGCAGAUGCAAAGACAAUGUUCAAG
rnacentral:lncRNA from 1 species